AGCAGCCGCGGUAAUUCCAGCUCCAAUAGCGUAUAUUAAAGUUGUUGCAGUUAAAAAGCUCGUAGUUGAAUUUCGGGGUUCUACCGUCGGUCGGGCUAACAAGUCUGUACUGGUGUGUAGAAUUUCUACCUUCUGGGGAACUAUCAUGUUAUUAAUUUAGCGUGGUGGGAAACCAGGACCUUUACCUUGAAAAAAUUAGAGUGUUCAAAGCAGGCUUACGUCUGAAUACAUUAGCAUGGAAUAAUAGAAUAGGACGGUGGUCCUGUUUUGUUGGUUUCUGAAUCACCGUAAUGAUUAAUAGGGAUAGUUGGG
rnacentral:rRNA from 1 species